rnacentral:rRNA from 1 species
AGAGUUUGAUCAUGGCUCAGGACGAACGCUGGCGGGUGCCUAACACAUGCAAGUCGUACGGGACUUGGGGGCAACUCCAAGUUCAGUGGCAGACGGGUGCGUAACACGUGAAGAACUUGUCCGGUGGCGGGGGAUAGCCGGCCCAACGGCCGGGUAAUACCGCAUACGAUCGCGCGGGGGCAUCUCUGCGCGAGGAAAGCAGCCGCAAGGUUGCGCCGACGGAGAGCUUCGCGGCCUAUCAGCUUGUUGGCGGGGUAAUGGCCCACCAAGGCUACGACGGGUAGCUGGUCUGAGAGGAUGAUCAGCCACAUUGGGACUGAGACACGGCCCAGACUCCUACGGGAGGCAGCAGUGGGGAAUAUUGCGCAAUGGCCGCAAGGCUGACGCAGCGACGCCGCGUGUGGGAUGACGGUCUUCGGAUUGUAAACCACUGUCAGGGGGAACGAAUACAGGGCGUCGAAUAGGCGACCCUGGGUGACGGUACCUCCAAAGGAAGCACCGGCUAACUCCGUGCCAGCAGCCGCGGUAAUACGGAGGGUGCGAGCGUUGUCCGGAAUCACUGGGCGUAAAGGGUGCGUAGGCGGUUCAGUAAGCUGCUGGUGAAAUCCCGGGGCUCAACUCCGGGGCUGCCGGCACGACUGCUGGACUUGAGCACGGUAGGGGCAGAUGGAAUUCCCGGUGUAGCGGUGGAAUGCGUAGAUAUCGGGAAGAAUACCAGUGGCGAAGGCGUUCUGCUGGGCCGUUGCUGACGCUGAGGCACGACAGCGUGGGGAGCAAACAGGAUUAGAUACCCUAGUAGUCC